rnacentral:lncRNA from 1 species
GGGCAUACACCCCAGGUCCACAAGUAGGCCUUGGACGGCCCACCAAGGGACGUACUCGGACAAGAUUAGAACAAGGAUGGGCGUAUCCUACUCGGACUAGUCAAGUAUGUUUAUGAAAAACUACUCGGGCCAUUACCGAGUAGAACUCUAUAAUAGUACCUGACUAGGACUCAGACUUGUAACCCUGCCCUCCUGUGUAUAUAAGGGCGGGCAGGGACCCCUCCCCCCUCAAGAACACGCCUGGAC